rnacentral:tRNA from 1 species
GCGCUGUUGCUGAGAUCAAAGAGCGCAAGUAGCUGACAGCACCAGACUACGGAUCUGGGUUUGCGGGGGUUCAAAUCCCUCUGGGCGCACCA